AUAUUAAGAUUUACCAAGGAACUGAUGGCAUUCAGAGCGGCCUAAGAAACAUGAAUCAAAAUCAUAAAUUAAUAUUCAAGUAUGAUGGAGAUACGGAAUAAGGGUCUUAAAGGAGAGAACAAUAUGUUGAUACAAUACAUUUUAAUUAUUGGUACAGUAUCCUAAUCAAUACAACAUUUAUUAAUAUACCUAAUUAAAUGUUAACCUCAAAAGCAUAAUACUGCUCUAAACGUAUUUAUUACACAACUAACAAUAUCUGAAUUAUAUUGCAAAUAAAUAUUAAAUGUACAAAACAAGGUACAAAGACAAAAACAUUAUACUCUAUGUACCUCUAAUUAUUCACUCAAUCUAGGUUGAACAGAAACAAAUAUUUAAGACGGAAUAAAACUGGAUUAAAAACCAUCCGUUCUGACUAAACUAACAAAUUUCAGUCUGUUCAGACCAUUCACAGAUCUAGAUCAACAGUUCUAAUUACAAAUCAGGUCAUAUUUCUCAAAAUCUAACAGUAGCAGUAAUACAAAAUACCUAGCACUAAUACAUAGGGUAUAAAUCUAAUAGCAUUAAACUAGAAUAGAGUCAAAUUGUAUUCAAAAUGUCUAUAAAGAGGUCAAUAAGUUAGUCUCUAAAAUAAGAUAGACAAAUUUUGCAUAUUAGUCAAAGUUUAAUAUCAAAACUGAAAAUGAACGAUAGAAAAUUCAUUAUUGGACUUAACAUUGUAAUGAUUAAUCCAAUCCCUAAGAUUUUAGAAAAUUAUUAUAACAAAGUCAAACAAUAUAAUAUAAGGACACAAUGAAUUGCAUGAAUACUAAAUAUUUACUACAUAAAUACAUACAAAAGUAUCUAUAGUUAUCAAUAUUUAAACAAAUCAAUGGGAUAGUUCAAAUUAAUCAACUCUAAUAUGAAUAAUUAUUAUUCAAAUAUUAUCGGAUAAUUAAUUCGAAAACAUUUGACAUUUGAGAAGAAUAGAGAAAUAUUGUAUCUAUUUGGUUAAAAACAAGCUAAUGACAAAAUACCAACAAUUUUACAAUACAAUUUAAUGAAAUAAUAGCUUAUAAUUUUUUCAAUGAUAAAUAAUAUAAAACAAUGUUUUAAAAUAUUAAACCAUAGAAUACAUUCAAUGUAUUUAGAUCGUAGUUUAUACAAUAUAUAUACAGUAGGUACACGUUACAUGUUUACAUUAAUUGUUGUAUCUUAUAAAUUAAAUCAAGCUAAUUAGGCACUUAACCUAUCUUCCCUAAAUUAUGACUGUUUAAAAUAAAUAGAUUACGGUAGGUACUUAAAUAAACUAUGUAAUAAUACACGUUUAAUUUUUAAUUUUUAACUUCAAAAUUUCACAAAUUAAAAUCUAAUUUUCAAUUAUUAAAUGAUUCUUUUAAACCUUAUACUUAAUUGGCUUUUAUACAUAUUUGCUUACAAUUGUUAAACUCUCAUAUGUUUAGAAUAAAUCAAGCAUAAGCAUAGUAGCACCCUAAUUUUUUGGAUGGAAUAGAAUCAAUACAAAACAAUUAUCUUUCAAAUAAUAUUUGAAUGAUGAUGUGAAUUGAGAAGUUUAUAAAAUAUAUGCUUGUUGUACUGAUCAGAUCAUGAAAAACAAAAUAGGUAUACUCUGUUUAGCAAGAGAACAUACUGAUUAUGUGCAACCCCCGCGUCAACUUUAUACCAAAACCGGUUUCCCUAUGGCACGGUGUCACUUGAAGAUGCGCAAAAGAACUACUAUUGGUCGGCACAUGGAUAAUUCUCUUUCUGAACAGUGUAAAUAGAUACUUAAACAACAUUCAGGUACAUUUUGUAAAUUUGUGCACAACAUUUAAGAUGUAAAUUAUUUGAAAAAAAAUUUAUAAUAAAAUCAAAUAUAUUUCCCUGCAGUGUAUUUUAAACCGCAAAAUACAAGUCAAUUUUUUUGAUAUUGAACCAUUCAUUAUUUCUAAUAUUUAAUGAUUUAUAGCAAAAAUAUAAACAGAUUUUUGGUUUACAUGGGGUAAAAUUAAAAAUUAUGAAGAUAAUAUGAACAAGUGUAAAAUUUGUAAACCAAGACUUAAAAUGUUAUAAAUACUGUAAAAUAUUACCAAAAGAAUGGUUCAUUAAAAAAAAAA